CAAAGACGGACCAGAAGGCAAUAAGUGUGUUUCAUUGUCUUCUGCAGUGUGGUCCUGUCUCCCACACAAUGGUUUGGUAUUGCUGACGGAAGUGCAAAGACGGACCAGAAGGCAAUAAGUGUGUUUCAUUGUCUUCUGCAGCAUAAAUAAAUGCUGGGAAAAUCCAC